AUGGUUAAGGAGGGCCGCCGGAUUGCUGCCGCAGCAUUUAUUCGCCUAAAAUGGAGCACUGCAAUCGUGCAAACCAGCCGUAUGGUUUAUGUUUAUUUAUUUUGUGUAUAUAUGGCAAGUGAUGAGGGACUGCGUUCUUUAAUACAUGCCUCCUUGACAAAGAGCUGUCAGUCACUAUGUUUACAAGAUUUCACCAGCCGCAUCUGCAUGACACGAGUUCAUGUUCCUCUCCAUAUUUAUUCGUUCAAACAUAACGGGUACAGCAACAUAAAACCGCCAUAUCAGCAUUUUCCAUCGUGCAAUUCUUUAUCAGCAGGUCCUUCGAAUGUGAAUCAGAUGUUUUCUUAUGAAGUUGUAGAUGGGUUUGCAGUGGCACAAAUGAAGACUGGAUUAAUUGGACAGAAUGUACUUCUGCCUUGCUUGUGUCCUAAUGAUUCUAAAGAACUGAUAUGGCAGAAAGGUGAGAGAGUAGUGAAUGUUCAUCCGCAAGACUAAAGCAUCAUAGAUGAUGCCUACAAGGACUGUACACCUGCCAUGCCCUAAUCACUGAUACAUCGUUUGGUCAAAGAGGUCAUCAGAAGUUAACCUUACAGGUGAGGUUGAUUUUAAUUAUCUGUCAAAUAAAUUAACUUAGUCAACUGAUAAAUGUGGUUGUUUAGUAAUCUAAUAGAUAAGUUAUCUGAAUUUGAAUUAGAGAAUUCUCUAGAACUUAAAAUGUUGCCUGUGUUUAUUAGUUAUUUUUAUAUAUAUAUCACACAUUUUAAACUGUUAUGUGUGGCAGUGUACAUUGCUGAUAGCUGAUCUUGCCCUUUUCUUUCAACAGUGUCUACUUAUGUUCCCACUGCUCAAACUGUGUCUGUGUUACGGGGUCGAUGAGACAAGAGUCGUUUAGAUCCAUUUGCGGGCUUUAUUGGUAACAAGGUCAAACACAGGCAGGGUCGAAUCAAUAGCAAACAGGCAUGGCACGGGCAAAACGCAAGAAUAGUCCUUGGGUGAGCGUGGGUCGACGAUCGGCAAACAGUAUCCGGAGGGCAAGACAAAAAGUUAAAUCCAAAGUACACGAGCAAGAAUUAAAAACAUGGAAAGACAGGCAAGGCUAGGAACACUGACAAUGGCUAGUAGAAUAGCACCACCAGAAGUGUGAUACACUCUAUACAAUACUCGGCCCUGAGUGGGUGAAAGUCCAAGGCUUAAGUAGGCUGAGUUGAUUGGCUCCAGCUCUGUUAUCAGGUUAGAGUGUGAUUAGGAAAGUGGCUCAUGGGAAAUGUAGUUUGAGGUGAUGUGUAAUAGUUUGUGUGUUGUGGGAGUUCGUAGUGGUGUAGUGUGAGAGUGUCCUGUGGUGGCUAGUGACAUUUGGUGGUGCCUGGACAGAAGGGCAGGCACCGGAUUCCUAACAGUCUGACUGCUUGGGGGUCCCCAGAACACUUUUUCCAGAAGUGGACCAGCAGGG
rnacentral:lncRNA from 12 species